rnacentral:lncRNA from 1 species
GUCAAAGGAGCAGCACUGAUAUGUGCAGGAAACAGCAUGGAAAUCAGCAUCGGCUGGUGGAAACAAACUGAAGCACCCAGAAGGGGAAAGAACUGACUGAAAUCUCAUAGCCCAUUAGUGUCAGGGCUGGAAUGGAGCCCCUUUUCCCAUUUUGUUCAUGGAACAAUGCAGGGCCGUCUAGAGCCCCGUAGGAAUCCUUUCCAAAAGAUACUUGUGUCACCACUGGAGGAAAAUUCACACUUAACAAUGAGUUGACUUGUGCAAUACCCCUAGAGAAGGAAUCCACAGAGCACCAGAUCCUAGAGACACAGCUAAUAGAAAGCAACAGGAGAGCUCAACCAGAGGACGAAGGCACCUAUGACCUCCAAAAAGUCAAGCCAAAAGCACAUGGUAAAAAGAAAAGACCACACACGGGCACAACUGUUCCUUAGAGAUAGUCUGUUACUGAAGGAUUUUCUUCAUUCUUGCAAGAGCUGGACAAUGGAAAGUCCCAGAUUUCUCAACAUCCUCUUGAGAAUUCACUGCCAGUAUGACACUAAAUCAAACUGAUGUCUGGAGCUGCCUUUCCUAUAGGUGAAUGGCUGUUCAUGGGAGGAGGAAGCAUACAUCAAGAGCCUGCUUUUUCCUGCUGUGUUACUGGAAGAUCCAUUUAUACCAGUGCAAAGAGGGUAUAUGAAGUCCACUACUCUGAUUUACCCCAGUGUUACACAGGUAUAGAUGCCAAUACAAAUUGCAAGAGAAUUUGCCUCCCUUCCAAAAUCACCCAGAAUAGGAAUAAAGAAAUCUGACAUCAUAGAUUUGG